AGUGAACGCUGGCGGCAUGCCUAACACAUGCAAGUCGAACGGCAGCACAGUAAGAGUUUUCUUUUACGGGUGGCGAGUGGCGGACGGGUGAGGAAUACAUCGGAAACCACUUUUUCGUGGGGGACAACGUAGGGAAACUUAUGCUAAUACCUCAUAUGUUCUACGGCUGGAAGCAGGGGAUCAUCGCACUUUGCGUGACGGAAUGAGACGAUGCCGGAUUAGCUAGUUGGCGGGGUAAAGGCACACCAAGGCAACGAUGCGUAGCGGGUCUGAGAGGAUGAUCGGCCACCCUGGAACUGAGACACGGUCCAGACUCCUACGGGAGGCAGCAGUGGGGAAUAUUGGACAAUGGGCGCAAGCCUGAUCGAGCCAUGCCGCGUGGGUGAAGAAGGCCUUCGGGUUGUAAAGCUCUUUUGUUGGGGAAGAAAAGCAGCAGGUGAAAACACGGCUGUUCUGACGGUACCCAAUAAAUAAGCACCGGCUAACUACGUG
rnacentral:rRNA from 1 species